UUCGGGGUCCCUGCCUGCGACGUGGAGGCGGGGGCUCAGGAGUCCCUGCUCAGGGAGUUGAAGGCGGGGUUCGGGGUCCCUGCCCCAGACGCGGAGGCGGGGGCUGCCCUCUGGGCGCAGUGGCAGCUGCGGGUAACGAGCGCUUCCGGCGCGUCAGCCGCUAAAUAUAAAGUGCUGAGCGCAUCUUCUCUUUUAAUCCCUCCCCUCCCCCAAACCUGCGGUAGCUUCGUGUCCCUUAAAAUAAAUCCCAGCCCGCUACCAGCGCCUGAAAGCCCCUCCUGGCUUGGCCUGGCCCGCCCGGCUCCCGCCCGGAGGCCUCCUAGGCGUCCUCGGUGAGAGGCGGAGAGGGGGGCUCCGACUGUCCCUGCGCGGUCAGCCACUAAGCGCGCACGUGUGCGCUGGCUUUUUGUCCGUCUCUCCUUCUGGCCCGGCCCAUCAGAUCAGAGAUUAGUGCUGGGCCCUGGAAGAAACUUGGUGCAUGGUGACCAGUAUUUUAUAAAAAUGAAACAGAAUAAAACGGAAAAUAUCAGGGCAUCCCACAUAGUGAGAAUAUUGUUUUGCGUUGAGGCCAUUUAUAUGUGUGAAUAUUUACGUGGGUACUGGGUCAAAUGUGGGAUGUGUUUCUUACCAGAGUGCCAAACAAACGAAUGAAAGCCACUGCAGGGAACAACUUGAGCCACCCCACAGACUAGGCGUUCUGACUCCCCUGGUCUUACAGAGGAGGACUGAGAUCCAGCACAGGACAGAGGAGCUGCUGGCAGGACAGGUGCCUGCCCGUCACAGAACACUCUGGUCCCACCGGCACUCAGCCAUGGCCAGUACCAGAAUUUGAGAAAAGGGAGCAGAAGAGAUGGAAAAGUCUUCAAAAUGUAUCUACCAAGAGCCACCUGUACGUUUUAGACCUGGUUCUUGACUCGUGGAAAAUUGCAGUGGUGAGGAGAGCAAGGACAGGACGGCCAUGGAAUUGGUGUAGCCCCACUGAGAGAGAUCUCUGGGGAUCCGGGCAUCCUGCUCCUGGAACAGAGAGAUUAUAGCUGUGCUGCCCAUCUCGUCAGUGCUGGUGAGGAGCCUGGAAGACCGUGCCCGUGGGGGCCUUGGCAGGGGCCAGGAGCCCACCGCCUGGGCCCACCCAAUGGGAAGCUGGCUGUGCCGAGGACCACCCACUGCAGACAUGAGCUGCUUACCUAAGCACCUGCUGUGUGUAUGGAGAAGAGUGAAGCGGGCCCUCAUAAGGACAGGUGUGAAUGUGUGGACGUGGGACGCCGCCCUGGGUCCCAUCACAGGCUGGCAGCGUCACACGGCCAGCGUCCUGCAAGAGGAGGGCACGUUGCCACAGCCUAUCACUGUGACUCUGAUGUCCCCCUGAGGAAGUAUGGGCCACGUGACCAUGGGUAUGCUAGGUAUCACUGCUUGCUAGGAGCAAAACGUAACAGGUGAGUUGAUUCAAAGACACGUCAGUGAUGGGUGAUCUACAGAGCAAGUCAAGUCAGUGGCCUGAAGCGUGGGAGCAUGCCAGCGGGGCAGGACCUCACCCGUCUCCUGAGGCUGGCACAAGGGAGGCGGGUGCUCACCUCUGGGGAAGCCCUGGCCCCGCUGCAGGUAGCGCCGCCCGGAGGCAGCUGAGAGUACAGGUGGGCUGGGCACGGAGAUCAGGGCUGGCUUUGAAGGUGCCACCUACUAGGCCUUCCCAGCAGGGAAAGGGGCUGGAGGCCCGGGGUGUUCGGUGGCCGAGGAGCCGGGAGGGAAAAGACUGGAAGGGGAUCUUGUUGUUCUUCCGGAGCCAAGAAUUCUGAGGUCUGACCUGCUCUCUGUGAAUCCUGUUGAAAUCCAUUUCCUCCUGCCCGGGGCCCUACAGGGCUGUUUUCCUUAGAGACACGAGGAGCACCAGUAGGUGAGGGCCUGAGGUUCAUGCAUCUUGUUCCCCCUCUCCCCUCCCCUCCCUCUCCACCCUUUCCCAGUUAAGCACUCUGGUGUGAGGGAGCUAGGGAGUGAGAAGUCCAAGAAAAACAUUAGGGCCCCGACCCCAGCAAGCCACAGCCACCUUUCCCGGCUUCCCGCUGGGCAGAGCGCUGAGCAGAGUUGGCUCCCCGAGGGGAGCUGCCCCUCAGAAGUUCAGAGGGAAACCCUUCGAGAUUCUGGAAAUAGGAGAGGGCACCAGAGGAGGCCCGAGGGGCUUCUCUCCUGAUGGCGGUCAACUCCGCUGCUGCUCCCCAAGGCUUGAAGAGUGGCGACAGUGUGGGGGGACAUGUUCCUGGGCCUCACUGCUGGAACCCGGCCCGGGGCCUCCUGGCUGUGGGCUCUCCCAGCGUACGAGACAUCUGGACCCCACCUCAGAGAGACGAGCACUGAAUGUGCAAGGAGCUGCUCACGCGGGACUAGCGCACAGAAGAACCCAGUCAUGCCCCGUCCCGGAUCCCUGCCUGCGGGGCCCUGGCGGUGAGGGUGACAGCCUGGGUGGGGUACGGGCGGCCUCAGGACCGCCGCCGGAGCCGUCCUCAGCCACAGGACCCUGCCACCUCUUCCCUCUGCCUGGGGCCCCUCUCGGCCUUUUCCAGGGAAGAAGAGACAUCCAGGCCGAGAGGGGCCCGGAGGGACAGCCUCCCGGCAGGUGAGGGGGUGGUUGGGGGUGGCCUGCUGAGGACAGAGCUGGACAGCAAAGUGGAGAUGGCCUGGGGGUGGCUCCUGGUUCCCCCUCCCCUGCUAGUUGGUGGGGGCCCCUGAUGGUGCCACCCUGCCCCCCACCAGCCUGAGAGAGCCCUUGCACAGCCGGCCUGGCUCGAGGGGAGCGUGCCAUUGUUGUCUGUCAGGCUCAGCUUACAGGGGCUGUGAGAGCGGCCAGCACGGCGAGUCGGUCUGGGCCGCCUGCCGGCCACCUGGACCUUGUCCCCUGACAGUUCCCAAGGGAAGAGGGAAAGGACGACCAAGUGACCAAGGCCACAGCUGAGGGUGAGGAGAGGGGAUGUGACGAGCAGGGAAGGGGAGUGUAUGGCCCCGUGCCCCUAAAAGAUGGCUCUGAGGACCCAGCGACGGUGCGUCUGCUCACCAGUAGUUGUGCCCCAGAACGCUUUCGCAGUGAAACCGGAAACCCCCGGGCCCGCUGGCAGCAGAUUGGACCUUUGAUGGCAGCGUGUGCCCUGCUGGAAGAUUCUGGGGCACUGAGUGUGAGUGGAACUCUGCUGCAGGGACAGGGUGGCAAGAGAAAGAGACGGAAAACGAUGGCCUGACCCCCUGCACGUAGGCUCACAGGGAAGCUCGCCCGCGCUGUUACGGUGGUGGUCACUAGGAGCCUAAGGGCUCGAAGGAGCCCACGUGGCUUCGGGAGCCAGCCACGCAUGGGUACUGGUUACACAGGUGCAUUACAUUUGUGGAUAUCCGUGGAGCUGAACACACGUGACCUGAGCACUUCUGUGCGCAUGUCUAUCACACUUGGAAAGAAAGUAAACGGAGAGCCUUGUUCCAGGGCAACCCACCGUGCUUUUACUAAGUGCCCACAACGGCCAGUGUUUACUGAGCUGCCCCGUGCCGGCACCGGUGCCCGCCCGGUCGUGUGUUCCCCUCCCCUGACCCCGGUCCCGGGCCUUGGAGGUGUGACACCGCACCUUCGGAGGGGAGGCGGCCAGCCAGGUGCUCGGCCAGAGCCACACAACCAGCAGAUAGCAGGGCCGGGAUUCCCUUUGGAGCGUCAGGCCGCUGGCCUGCGCGCCGUGCCCCACAGCCCUCGGCCCUGGGGGCCAGGGACCAGAAGUGACUUUUGUGCUCAAGGAGCUCACCCUUCAAAGGUGUCCCGGAUGGGGGCUGCCCUGAGGCUGGAGCUGGGCAUUUGGGGAAGCAGUUACUUCUUCAAGGCUCUGUCCUCACCGCACAUCCUCGGCAGUUGCCAUGGAAACCCACAGGCUUACCCGGAGCGUCCUAGGAUGCCUGCUCCAAGUCGACUCCAAGGCUGGGCCCUGUGUGCCGGUGGGGCAGAACUGCAGCCCCAAGAACGAAGUAAAGAGGGAGUGGGAGAGACCGUCCAGGCUCCCAAAGCCUGGACUCCGCUGACAGCGCUCUGUAAGCCAACCUGAGUGCCCUUGUACGCUUACUAAGACAUUCUCACGGCCCAGUGAAAGGCUGGAGCAUGCGGAUGAGCCAGGCACACGGGUAUUUUCACUGCGUUAAGGUCUGGGGUGUUAACCCAAUAAACCUUCCCUUCUGCUGCUGCCUUAAACAUCCUGAACGCAAAGGCUGGAUUCAUGCACCGGGUGGAAAGAAAUAAUGUGCAUGAGGAGCCUGUAGGUACCCAGGUGGACACAAGGCAGCACGUGGGCCGGGCUGGGAAGAGGGCUCGUACCCCAGGAAGAUGGCUCCUCAGUACAAGACCGCUUCCAGCUUUUCCAGUGGGUACCAGCGGCUACACACAGAGGACGGCGCCCGAAACCACAGCCCGUGGCCCAUCUUGUUCCUACAGGCCAUCACAGACCUAUGUGAAUACAUACUUGCCUUUCUCAAGCUCUGGGCCAGGAGAGCCACGUUUGCCUUGGGACUCUUGCUGGGUUCGGGGGCAGAGUGUUUUCACAGACAGCAUUCAGCAUGAACUGCGGGACCUCAGGAUGAUCACUCCAGAGUCUGGUGUCUCCACCAUGGGCUGGACUGGAAUUCAUGCCUUAUUCACUUCCUUAUUUGUUUAAAAGUUUUAUGGACAGGCAUCUGGGUAGCUCAGUGGUUGAGCGUCCGUUUUGGCUCAGGUCAUGAUCUCACGGUUCGUGAGUUCAAGCCCCACAUUGGGCUCGCUGCUGUCAGCACAGAGUGUGCUUGGGAUCUUCUGUCCCUCUCUCUCUCUCUGCCCCUCCCCUGCGUGUGCAUGCACGUGUGCUCGCUCGCUCUCUCUCAAAAUAAAUCAACUUAAAAAAAAUGAAACUAUAAAAAUAAAUAAAAAUUUUGAGAUAUUACGUAUCAUAAUAUUCACCCAUUUACAGCAUACAGUUUAGGGGCGCUCGGGUGGCUCAGUCGGUUAAGAGUCUGACUUAGGCUCAGGUCAUGAUCUCACAGUUUGUGAAUUCUACUCCCACGUUGGAUUCUGUGCUGACAGCUCAGAGCCUGGCACCCGCUUUGGAUUGUGUCUUCCUCUCUACCCUCCCCCACUUGUUCUCUCUUUCUCUCUCUCUCUCAAAAAUAAACAUAAAAAAAAUUUUUUUAACGUACAGUUUAGGGACACGAGGGUGGCUCAGUCAGUUAAGCAUCCAACUUCAACCUGGGUUGUGAUCUCACGGUCCAUGGAUUUGAGCCCCACAUCUGGCUCUGUGCUGACAGCUCGGAGCCUGGAGCCUGCUUCGGAUUCUGUGUCUCCCUCCCUCUCUGCCCCUCCCCCACUCAUGCUCUGUUUGUCGCUCUCUCAAAAAUAAAUAAACGUUAAGAAAAUUCAAAGCGUACAGUUUAGUGGGGUUUAGCAUAGCACCAGAGGCGUAAAGCCACCUCCAGUGAAUUCCUGGAUCACUUCAUCCAAAACCUCUAGCCACUAGUAAUCACUGUACACUCCACUCUCCCUGAGACUUAGGCAACUACUGUGGGUUUGCCUGUUCUAGAAAUUUCACUGCAAUGAGAUUCUAUACUAUGUGGUCCUUUUGUUUUGUUUUGUUUUUGGCUUUUAUUUCAGAGAGCAAGAGAGAGAGAGAGCAUGCACGCGCGCAUGAGCGGGGGAGGGGAGAAAGAAUAUCAAGCAGGCUCCGUGUUCAGCAUAGACCCCAAUGCAGGGCUCGAUCCCACAACCCUAGGAUCAUGACCUGAGCCAAAAUCAAGAGUUGGACUCUCAACCGACUGAGCCAACCAGGUGCCCCUACACUACGUGGUCUUAUGUGAUGGCUUCUUUCACCUGGCAUCCUUUAUACACGUUUUCAAGGCUUAUCCACAUUGCAGUGUUGAUUGGUGCUUCCUUGUUAUGGCUGAGUCACGUUCCACUGUACGAAGUUGCUUGUGUUUUCUCAGGUGAUGGCCGUUUGGGUCGUUUCUAAUUUUCAGCUACCACGAAUAACACGGCUGUGAACAUUUGUGUGCAA